GCCAAGGAUGGUCAGCCACCAAGGAGGGUCAUCAUGUCUGACGAGGAAAGGGAGGCAGUUCUGACCGAGGUCCACGCCGGCCACUUCGGAGUGAAGCGCAUGUUGGGAAAGAUCAACCAGCGCUUCUACUGGCUUGGCAUUGUCAAGGAUGUGGAAUACUGGGUCCGCACCUGUGUGCCUUGCCAGAAGUUUGAGAAGGUGAAGACAGGCACCUGAGUUGAAGAGCAUCAAGCCUGUUUCACCUUGGUACAUGAUUGGUGUGGACCUCAUCGGACCGUUCAAGUCAUCCAGGAAUGGG